CCGUGCUGUACCAGUUGCCACUGCCCAAGCUCUCUCUCUGUGUUCGAAAAGCCACUGUGUGGGAAAGUUCAAACCAGUAGGCUAUUGAUUCUUCUGCUUCAUUUUUUGGAUAGUCUGACAUAAUAAAAGACAAGUGUCACUGUAGUAACCUGUUGCAGCCUCUGGUUCUCAUCAGCCACCUUGAGGCUGUAGUGCUGCUGUUUCACCCUCCCUGGAAAAGGAUGUUCUGACAUACCUGCCGCUGACCUGUAGCUAUGGUAGCCACGCUCUUGUUCCCCUCGACCACCUUGAGGCUGUAGUGUUGCUACUUCACCCUCACUGACUAAGGAGAAACACCCAACUCGUCUAGAGAGGUACACACAACUUACUUCAGCAGCCCUCAAAAGGAAGUCAUCCAAUGAAGGUUCUUUGGCUCUCACCCUCCAAACAAACUUUUUAUUGACAGCACUAAUUUAUGCUGUAUAUAGACAACCACACAAGGGUAAUUGCCACUUGUCCUGUUUUGUUAUUACAUCCGUUGCCCUCACAGAUUCCUGCAGCUAAGCUUGGAUGUACAUUUACAU